CGCGAAUGGCUCAUUACAACAGCUAUAAUUUACUUGAUCUUGACACAAUCCUACUUGGAUAACUGUGGUAAUUCUAGAGCUAAUACAUGCAUUAAAGCUCUGACCUUAGGGGAAGAGUGCAUUUAUUAGAACAAAACCAAGCGGCUUCGGCUGUUUUCGGUUGACUCAUAGUAACUGAGCUGAUCGCAUGGUCUUGCACCGGCGACGUGUCUUUCAAGUAUCUGCCGUAUCAACUUUCGAUGGUAGUGUAUCUGACUACCAUGGUGAUCACGCGUAACGGAGAAUAAGGGUUCGACUCCGGAGAGUUCGCCUGAGAAAUCGCGAACACAUCUAAGGAAGGCAGCAGGCGCGAAAAUUACCCACUCUCAGCACGAGGAGGUAGUGACGAAAAAUAACGAGGCGGUUCUCUAUGAGGCCCGCUAUCGGAAUGGGUACAAUUUAAACCCUUUAACGAGGACCUAUGAGAGGGCAAGUCUGGUGCCAGCAGCCGCGGUAAUUCCAGCU
rnacentral:rRNA from 1 species